AUAAACUUGGACCUCAAGACUCAGCACAGGGAGCAGAAUAUCACAGCAGCCAAGGAAACUGAAGUUGGUGGUGGUCAGAAAGUGAUCAUAAUCUUUGUUCCCAUUCAACUGAAAUCUUUCCAGAAAAUCCAAGUUCAGCUAGUACGUGAACUGGAGAAGUUCAUUGGGAAGUAUGUCAUCUUUAUUGCUCAGAGGAGAAUUCUGCCCAAGCCAACUCAAAAAAAGCCAUACAAAAAAAAUAUAAAUAAAUAAGAAAAAGCAUCCCAGGAGCCAUACUCUGACAGCUGUGUAGGAUGUGAUCCUUUAGGACUUGGUCUUCCAAGUGAAGUUGUGGACAAGAGAAUCUGUGUGAAACUGGAGGGCAGCUUGCUCAUCAGGGUUCAUUUAGUCAAAGCACAGCAGAACAAUGUGGAACACAAGGUUGACACUUUUUCAGGUGUCUAUAAGAAGCUCACAGAUAAGGAUGUUAAUUUUGAUUUCCCAUAGUUUCCGUUGUAA
rnacentral:lncRNA from 1 species